UGAACGCUGGCGGCGUGCUUAACACAUGCAAGUCGAACGAAGUUUAAGGAGCUUGCUUUUAAACGUUAGUGGCGGACGGGUGAGUAACGCGUGGGUAACCUGCCUUUCACAGGGGGAUAACAGUUAGAAAUGACUGCUAAUACCGCAUAAGCGCACAGGACGGCAUCGUCUAGUGUGAAAAACUCCGGUGGUGAAAGAUGGACCCGCGUCUGAUUAGCUAGUUGGUGAGGUAACGGCUCACCAAGGCGACGAUCAGUAGCCGGCCUGAGAGGGUGAACGGCCACAUUGGGACUGAGACACGGCCCAAACUCCUACGGGAGGCAGCAGUGGGGAAUAUUGCACAAUGGGGGAAACCCUGAUGCCAGCGACGCCGCGUGAGUGAAGAAGUAUUUCGGUAUGUAAAGCUCUAUCAGCAGGGAAGAAAAUGACGGUACCUGACUAAGAAGCCCCGGCUAACUACGUGCCAGCAGCGGC
rnacentral:rRNA from 1 species